CUCUUGAUAGUGAGAGCUGGAGGAGCUUUUGUGCUGCCAGAGCAAGGCCUUGUCCCAUUGUGCUGUUGUGAAGGACUUAGUCAUGGCUCGUUCCCAGUGUCGUUUGAAGAGGUUGUUUUCCGAUGUGGGACUGGUCAGUAUGUAUUGGUAGAGGUUCGAGAUUGCUUUCCCUAAUGACGUGCCCCUGGAGCAGAGUUGCUCGUACCAUGUGAGGUCUCUUUGCAGCUUUUCUUUGUGCGGGAGUGUGUUGAAAUAAUGUUUCAGUUGCAUGUAUCGAAAAACCGCCAUAUGUGAGCGCGGUCUUGAUUCCAGUAGCGCGUCCAGAG